rnacentral:rRNA from 1 species
GGCCUGCAUUUGAAACUGUAGUUCUUGAGUACUGGAGAGGCAGACGGAAUUCCUAGUGUAGCGGUGAAAUGCGUAGAUAUUAGGAGGAACACCAGUGGCGAAGGCGGUCUGCUGGACAGCAACUGACGCUGAGGCGCGAAAGCGUGGGGAGCAAACAGGAUUAGGUACCCUGGUAGUCCACGCUGUAAACGAUGGAUACUAGGUGUGGGGGGUCUGACCCCCUCCGUGCCGCAGUUAACACAAUAAGUAUCCCACCUGGGGAGUACGAUCGCAAGGUUGAAACUCAAAGGAAUUGACGGGGGCCCGCACAAGCGGUGGAGUAUGUGGUUUAAUUCGAAGCAACGCGAAGAACCUUACCAGGGCUUGACAUCCCGGUGACCGCUCUAGAGAUAGAGUUUUCCUUCGGGACACCGGUGACAGGUGGUGCAUGGUUGUCGUCAGCUCGUGUCGUGAGAUGUUGGGUUAAGUCCCGCAACGGGCGCAACCCCUAUUGUUAGUUGCUACGCAAGAGCACUCUAGCGAGACUGCCGUUGACAAAACGGAGGAAGGUGGGGACGACGUCAAAUCAUCAUGCCCCUUAUGUCCUGGGCCACACACGUACUACAAUGGUGGUUAACAGAGGGAGGCAAUACCGCGAGGUGGAGCAAAACCCUAAAAGCCAUCCCAGUUCGGAUUGCAGGCUGCAACCCGCCUGCAUGAAGUUGGAAUCGCUAGUAAUCGCGGAUCAGCAUGCCGCGGUGAAUACGUUCCCGGGCCUUGUACACACCGCCCGUCACACCAUGAGAGUCGGGAACACCCGAAGUCCGUAGCCUAACCGCAAGGAGGGCGCGGCCGAAGGUGGGUUCGAUAAUUGGGGUGAAGUCGUAACAAGGUAACCA